GGAGUUUUAAUCUUCAUUAUUACCAUCAAUAUCAUCAUCACAAUCAUCAUGUUCAUCACCAUCAUUAUCAUCAUCAUCAUCACAAUCAUCUUCAUCACCAUCAUCUUCAUCAUUAUCACAAUCAUCAUCAUCUUCAUCAUUAGCGAUAUCAAUUAUAGUCUUCAUCAUCAUCGGUUACAUUCUCAUCGUUUCUGUUUAUUAAAUACUUGUAUAGCAUUUAGUUUCUUUUUUUAAUAAUAUGUAUCAUCCAUUUCAAUGUUUUUUUACAUAAGAAUAAAGUUUAGAAUAAAUAAAGAAUAAAGAAUAAAGUUCAGGAGAAGAAUUAACAGCAUCAGACUGGGAGAGACAGAAAGAAAGAGGUGGUGGUGGUGGUGAUGAUGAUGGAGAGAGAGGUGGUGGUGGUGAUGAUGAUGGAGAGAGAGGUGGUGGUGGUGAUGAUGAUGAUGAUGGAGAGAGAGGUGGUGGUGGUGGUGGUGAUGAUGAUGAUGGAGAGAGAGGUGGUGGUGGUGGUGAUGAUGAUGAUGGAGAGAGAGGUGGUGGUGGUGGUGGUGAUGAUGAUGAUGGAGAGAGAGGUAGUGGUGGUGGUGGUGGUGAUGAUGAUGAUGAUGAUGGAGAGAGAGGUGGUGGUGGUGGUGGUGAUGAUGAUGAUGGAGAGAGAGGUAGUGGUGGUGGUGGUGGUGAUGAUGAUGGAGAGAGAGGUGGUGGUGGUGAUGAUGAUGAUGGAGAGAGAGAGGUGGUGGUGGUGGUGGUGAUGAUGAUGAUGGAGAGAGCGGUAGUGGUGGUGGUGGUGAUGAUGGAGAAAGAGGUGGUGGUGAUGAUGAUGGAGAGAGAGGUGGUGGUGGUGGUGGUGAUGAUGAUGAUGGAGAGAGAGGUAGUGGUGGUGGUGGUGGUGAUGAUGAUGGAGAGAGAGGUGGUGGUGGUGAUGAUGAUGAUGGAGAGAGAGGUGGUGGUGGUGGUGGUGAUGAUGAUGAUGGAGAGAGAGGUAGUGGUGGUGGUGGUGAUGAUGGAGAGAGAGGUGGUGGUGGUGAUUAUGAUGGAGAGAGAGGUGGUGGUGGUGAUGAUGAUGAUGGAGAGAGAGGUGGUGGUGGUGGUGGUGAUGAUGAUGAUGGAGAGAGAGGUAGUGGUGGUGGUGGUGAUGAUGAUGAUGGAGAGAGAGGUGGUGGUGGUGGUGGUGAUGAUGAUGGAGAGAGAGGUGGUGGUGGUGAUGAUGAUGAUGGAGAGAGAGGUGGUGGUGGUGGUGGUGGUGAUGAUGGAGAGAGAGGUGGUGGUGGUGGUGAUGAUGGAGAGAGAGGUGGUGGUGGUGGUGAUGAUGAUGAUGGAGAGAGAGGUAUUGGUGGUGGUGGUGAUGAUGAUGGAGAGAGAGAUGGUGGUGGUGGUGAUGAUGGAGAGAGAGGUAGUGGUGGUGGUGGUGAUGAUGAUGGAGAGAGAGGUGGUGGUGGUGGUGGUGAUGAUGAUGGAGAGAGAGGUAGUGGUGGUGGUGGUGGUGAUGAUGAUGGAGAGAGAGGUGGUGGUGGUGGUGGUGAUGAUGAUGGAGAGAGAGGUGGUGGUGGUGGUGAUGAUGAUGAUGGAGAGAGAGGUGGUGGUGGUGGUGAU
ensembl:lncRNA